CCUUGCUCGGUAAUGCUUCGGCAAUGCUCCGCACGGGUGCACGGGGGCCCUCCGUCGUCCACUGCCGUCGUCCAAGUCACGCGCACUGAUCUCGAAUUCUCGAUUCUGGAUCGCGGAUAGGGAGCGCGAGCGUGAAGAAACCGGCCGCCAUCUUACGGUGCUCACAACAGUCGCCGCAGCGAUCAUGGCAACUUCUUGCAAUUACGGUCGUACCAACCGUACUGGCAAGGUUACAGGGCCUAAAUUUAUACAGGUUUCGUCAUGAGGGCUACCCAGUGAAUAAUCUGUGUAGUGUGAUACGGCUGGGUGUACAGGUUACUUCACAGCUGCCUCGACAUACUCAAGAAAUGGGUGCAGAACCUGCGUAAUGCCCACAAACUUUGAUUACCACAGCACCUCCAAAAGUAUGUGUCACAUGGGAUUUUUAAACGUAUUCACAGUAUAUAAUACCUUGUAUUAACUGUUGUAGAUCUAAGCCGUCUCUACAGUACACUCUCAGAAAUUAAAACCGUGAGAACCGUGAUAAUUGUUUCAGUUAAUAGGGCAUGCACAUAUAUGCUAUAAGAAGAAAAUUAUUUCUUGAGAAUGCACUUCUCUGGCUACUGGUGUUGUUUACAUCUACUGUUGAUCACAUUCAUUUAUCACGUAUUAUAUUCUUAUAUAUACUAUUAUAUUAACACAUAUUUGAUCACAUUAAAUUCAAAAUUCAUCAUAUAUAAGAAAAUACCAGGAGGGAAGUUGCGAUUCAUUGCUCAUUCUAACCUAAAAUUGAGUGCUACAAAUUUAGAGAGAGUACCUGUCCAUUGUCAUUCCUAAAAUAUAUAUUGUCAUUGUAGCAAGGUCAUAAAACAAUAAAUGUAGUCUUUUGUGACCUCCCUGCACGUUCAUUGUAUCCUGAAACGCAUAAGUGCAAGAAAUAAAUCUUGAACUUGAAUAAACUUGAUGUUGUAUGAACUUGACAUAAAAUGUUGAAUAGUAUAAUGAAUGAUAUAAAAUAUUGAAUAAACUUGAACUCGUAUAUUCUCUUUACUCAUCAUCAGUGACCUUCU